rnacentral:rRNA from 1 species
AACGAACGCUGGCGGCAUGCCUAACACAUGCAAGUCGAACGGGACCUUCGGGUCUAGUGGCGCACGGGUGCGUAACGCGUGGGAAUCUGCCCUGGGGUCUGGGAUAACUUCUCGAAAGGGAAGCUAAUACCGGAUGAUAUCGCGAGAUCAAAGAUUUAUCGCCCUGGGAUGAGCCCGCGUCCGAUUAGGUAGUUGGUGGGGUAAAGGCCUACCAAGCCGACGAUCGGUAGCUGGUCUGAGAGGAUGAUCAGCCACACUGGGACUGAGACACGGCCCAGACUCCUACGGGAGGCAGCAGUGGGGAAUAUUGGACAAUGGGCGCAAGCCUGAUCCAGCAAUGCCGCGUGAGUGAUGAAGGCCUUAGGGUUGUAAAGCUCUUUUACCCGGGAUGAUAAUGACAGUACCGGGAGAAUAAGCCCCGGCUAACUCNGUGCCAGCCGCCGCGGUAA